rnacentral:rRNA from 1 species
UACGUAGGUGGCAAGCGUUGUCCGGAAUUAUUGGGCGUAAAGCGCGCGCAGGUGGUUUCUUAAGUCUGAUGUGAAAGCCCCCGGCUCAACCGGGGAAGGUGGCUGCAAACUGGGCUUCUUGAGGGCGAUAGAGGAGGGUGGAAUUCCUGGUGUAGCGGUGAAAUGCGUAGAUAUCUGGAGGAACACCGGUGGCGAAGGCGGCAUCCUGGACCGACACUGACACUGAGGAGCGGAAGCCAGGGGAGCAAACGGG